AUGAAGUUUCACGAUCCAGAUGCAGCAGAGCUGCCGUUCUCCAUUCGAAAAACAAAGGCAACAAGAAGACGCAGCAGCAACCUAAUGGACGUGUUCAUGUGACCAAGUCCUCAGUAGAGUAGCCCAUUGAUAGGUGUUCCGGCAUUGGCUUUACCCACCUUGAAUUUCAAUCUUGGCACGCAGUUCGCCACUCAACGUAAUGAGCUUAUGCUGAUUGAUUUCACAGGUAGUUUAUUGGUCAAAUGGUCGUGUCUCCACCGGUGAACAGUCUCUUUUGCUCUUUUCACAUGAAAUUGGUUCUUGUCAGGAUGUUUUUGGAUUGGGCGGUCCAGAUUCAAGGUCAUUUUGGUUGGUUGACUCUUGGUACAAUCUAACAGCUCUAGUUCUAGCACUGACAAUGGAAUUACCUGUAAAUGUGGCCGCAGAGGCCUUCUCUUCCUGCCCCCUUGCUGCAAGAGGUUGUGACCUGAUGAACAUUUUCAGUAUAGCUCUCAUCUUUUCGGAAUCAAGUUCGUGUUUGCUCUCUCGUGUUCGAUUCAUCCCCUAAGCCUAGCUUGCUUGUGGGCAAUGAAAUCCUUACUGGUGGAUGAGAGCUCUUGGGUAUCAUUACCCACUUUGCGCCCCAAAAAAUGGUUACAGAAGGGAACCAACCAUGCAUGCUCCACGUUUUUGUCGGCGAGGGGUUUCAGCUUCACCCCGGCGAGGUCUGGCCGGAGCCACGGCAAGUUUGUCGCUGAUGUUUUGAUCUGGUGGUGCGCCUGCAAGUUUGUUUGGCCAUGUUUU